AGUGUGAGCAACUGGAUUGGUGCUUCCCCCUUUCUUAUAGUCCAAUCAAAGGAUUUGUUUACAUUUGUUUACAUUUGUAAACAAAGCCUCUGAUUGGACUAUAAGAAAGGGGGAAGCACCAAUCCAGUUGCUCACACUAUUUGAUUGGCUUCCCUUUUUCUUAUAAUCCAAUCAGAGACUUUGUUUACAAAUCUUUU